rnacentral:rRNA from 1 species
GUCGAGCGAAGCACUCGGCCUUGAAUCUUCGGAGGAAAGGCGGUUUGACUGAGCGGCGGACGGGUGAGUAACGCGUGGGCAACCUGCCCCAUACGGGGGGAUAACAGUUAGAAAUGACUGCUAAUACCGCAUAAGACCGCGGUGCCGCAUGGCACAGCGGUAAAAACUCCGGUGGUAUGGGAUGGGCCCUCGUCUGAUUAGCUAGUUGGCGGGGUAACGGCCCACCAAGGCGACGAUCAGUAGCCGACCUGAGAGGGCGACCGGCCACAUUGGGACUGAGACACGGCCCAAACUCCUACGGGAGGCAGCAGUGGGGAAUAUUGCACAAUGGGGGAAACCCUGAUGCAGCGACGCCGCGUGAGCGAUGAAGUAUUUCGGUAUGUAAAGCUCUAUCAGCAGGGAAGAAGAUGACGGUACCUGACUAAGAAGCCCCGGCUAACUACGUGCCAGCAGCCGCGGUAAUACGUAGGGGGCAAGCGUUAUCCGGAUUUACUGGGUGUAAAGGGAGCGUAGACGGCGAUGCAAGCCAGAUGUGAAAGCCCGGGGCUCAACCCCGGGACUGCAUUUGGAACUGUGUGGCUGGAGUGUCGGAGAGGCAGGCGGAAUUCCUAGUGUAGCGGUGAAAUGCGUAGAUAUUAGGAGGAACACCAGUGGCGAAGGCGGCCUGCUGGACGAUGACUGACGUUGAGGCUCGAAAGCGUGGGGAGCAAACAGGAUUAGAUACCCUGGUAGUCCACGCCGUAAACGAUGACUGCUAGGUGUCGGGCGGCAAAGCCGUUCGGUG